rnacentral:ribozyme from 1 species
UGCCUAGCAACUCCUAUCCCUACCUCCUCGUGGUACUGGCCGGCUGAUCAUCGUCCGAGUGCCAGAGAAGG